ACGGGUGCGUAACGCGUGGGAAUCUGCCCUUUGGUCUGGGAUAACUGUUGGAAACGACAGCUAAUACCGGAUGAUGGCGUAAGUCCAAAGAUUUAUCGCCAGAGGAUGAGCCCGCGUCGGAUUAGCUAGUUGGUGGGGUAAAGGCCUACCAAGGCGACGAUCCGUAGCUGGUCUGAGAGGAUGAUCAGCCACACUGGGACUGAGACACGGCCCAGACUCCUACGGGAGGCAGCAGUGGGGAAUAUUGGACAAUGGGCGAAAGCCUGAUCCAGCAAUGCCGCGUGAGUGAUGAAGGCCUUAGGGUUGUAAAGCUCUUUUACCCGGGAUGAUAAUGACAGUACCGGGAGAAUAAGCUCCGGCUAACUCCGUGCCAGCAGCCGCGGUAAUACGGAGGGAGCUAGCGUUGUUCGGAAUUACUGGGCGUAAAGCGCACGUAGGCGGCUUUGUAAGUUAGAGGUGAAAGCCUGGAGCUCAACUCCAGAACUGCCUUUGGUACUGCAUGGCUUGAAUCCAGGAGAGGUGAGUGGAAUUCCGAGUGUAGAGGUGAAAUUCGUAGA
rnacentral:rRNA from 1 species